AACACCUGACAGAACACAUAGAACAUAAACUCAGUCCAAUGAUGACCCAAAAGAGUCCCAGUAAACCCAGCUCCAGUUCUCCUGAGGGUAGCUGUGAGCUAGCUAGAGAAUGAGAAUAGGAAAAUGUUCUUGCAUGAGGCCCAAUGAGCCCAAUUAUUAAUUCAAAGCUCCAAAGGAAUGGGUUAAUAACAUGCUGAUGGGACCAAUUAGCACAGGUUCAACCAAGGGUUUUGUGUAUCACGACGUCAGGCUGCCUUACA